AGCGAUCCUUUGAGAGAGGUAUUCGACACCUUGGACUGAACCGCUAGGCAUUCCUACGGAGUCAGCAGAUACGGAAUCUCGGCAAUUGAACGAAAGUUCCGACCGAGCACGCCGCGUGAGUGAUGAAGGAUUCCGUUUCGUUAAAGCUUCGGUUGUUAAGGAGGACAAGUGUUCGUCAAAUAGGGCGGCACCUUGACGGUACCUAACCAGAAAGCACGGCUAACUAACGUGCCAGCAGCGCGGGUAAUACGUAGGUGGCAAGCGUUGUCCGGAAUUAUUGGGCGUAAAGCGCGCGCAGGCGGUCUUUUAAGUCUGAUGUGAAAGCCCCCGGCUCAACCCGGGGAGGGUCAUUGGAAACUGGGAGACUUGAGUACAGAAGAGGAGAGUGGAAUUCCACGUGUAGCGGUGAAAUGCGUAGAUAUGUGGAGGAACACCAGUGGCGAAGGCGACUCUCUGGUCUGUAACUGACGCUGAGGCGCGAAAGCGUGGGGAGCAAACAGGAUUAGAUACCCUGGUAGUCCACGCCGUAAACGAUGAGUGCUAGGUGUUAGGGGUUUCGAUGCCCUUAGUGCCGAAGUUAACACAUUAAGCACUCCGCCUGGGGAGUACGACCGCAAGGUUGAAACUCAAAGGAAUUGACGGGGGCCCGCACAAGCAGUGGAGCAUGUGGUUUAAUUCGAAGCAACGCGAAGAACCUUACCAGGUCUUGACAUCCUUUGACAAUCCUAGAGAUAGGACUUUCCCCUUCGGGGGACAAAGUGACAGGUGGUGCAUGGUUGUCGUCAGCUCGUGUCGUGAGAUGUUGGGUUAAGUCCCGCAACGAGCGCAACCCUUGAUCUUAGUUGCCAGCAUUCAGUUGGGCACUCUAAGGUGACUGCCGGUGAUAAACCGGAGGAAGGUGGGGACGACGUCAAAUCAUCAUGCCCCUUAUGACCUGGGCUACACACGUGCUACAAUGGAUGGUACAAAGAGCAGCAAAACCGCGAGGUCGAGCCAAUCUCAUAAAGCCAUUCUCAGUUCGGAUUGUAGGCUGCAACUCGCCUACAUGAAGCCGGAAUUGCUAGUAAUCGCGGAUCAGCAUGCCGCGGUGAAUACGUUCCCGGGCCUUGUACACACCGCCCGUCACACCACGAGAGUUUGUAACACCCGAAGUCGGUGGGGUAACCCUUACGGGAGCUAGCCGCCUAAAGUGGAACAAAAA
rnacentral:rRNA from 1 species